UACAGAGGGUGCGAGCGUUGUCCGGAAUCACUGGGCGUAAAGGGCGCGUAGGUGGCCCGACAAGUCCGUGGUGAAAGCUCGACGCUCAACGUCGAGUCGGCCAUGGAUACUGUUGGGCUGGAGCACUGUAGAGGCUCAUGGAAUUCCGGGUGUAGCGGUGGAAUGGCGUAGAGAUCCGGAAGAACACCGGUGGCGAAGGCGGUGAGCUGGGCAGU
rnacentral:rRNA from 1 species